CCUACGGGUGGCAGCAGUAGGGAAUUUUCGGCAAUGGGCGCAACCCUGACCGAGCAACGCCGCGUGAACGAAGAAGUUAUUCGUAAUGUAAAGUUCUUUUAACAGGGAAGAAAGAGAAAUUUGACGUUGCCUGACGAAUAAGCUCCGGCUAAAUACGUGCCAGCAGCCGCGGUAAUACGUAGGGAGCGAGCGUUAUCGGGGAUUAUUGGGCGUAAAGGGUGGGUAGAUGGCAUAGUAAGUGUUUUGUAAAAAGGCGGGGAUAAACCCAGUAGGGCAAACGAUACUGCAAAGAUAGAGUGUGAAAGAGGGAAGUGGAAGUACAAGUGUAGCGGUAAAAUGCGUAGAUAUAUGGAAGAACACCAGUGGCGAAGGCAGCUUGCUGGGUCGAUACUGACACUGAGGCACGAAAGCGUGGGGAGCAAACAGGAUUAGAUACCCCUGUAGUC
rnacentral:rRNA from 1 species